rnacentral:rRNA from 1 species
UACAGAGGUCCCAAGCGUUGUUCGGAUUCACUGGGCGUAAAGGGUGCGUAGGCGGUCGGGUAAGUCUGAUGUGAAAUCCCUCGGCUUAACCGGGGAACUGCGUCUGAUACUGGAUGGCUUGAGUUUGGGAGAGGGAUGCGGAAUUCCAGGUGUAGCGGUGAAAUGCGUAGAUAUCUGGAGGAACACCGGUGGCGAAGGCGGCAUCCUGGACCAACACUGACGCUGAGGAGCGAAAGCCAGGGGAGCAAACGGG